UACGUAGGUGGCGAGCGUUGUCCGGAUUUAUUGGGCGUAAAGCGCGCGCAGGCGGUGCGGUAAGUCUGUCGUGAAAUCUCCCGGCUCAACUGGGAGGGUGCGGUGGAGACUGCCGGACUGGAGGCACUCAGAGGCCGGUGGAAUUCCCGGUGUAGUGGUGAAAUGCGUAGAGAUCGGGAGGAACACCAGUGGCGAAGGCGGCCGGCUGGGGGUGACCUGACGCUGAGGCGCGAAAGCGUGGGGAGCGAACCGGAUUAGAUACCCGGGUAGUCCACGUUGUAAACGAUGGCCACUAGAUGUGGGGGGUAUCGACCCCCUCCGUGUCGGAGCUAACGCAGUAAGUGGCCCGCCUGGGGAGUACGGCCGCAAGGCUAAA
rnacentral:rRNA from 1 species